UUGAACCCACGAACCGCAAGAUCAUGACCUGAGCCGAAGUCGGACGCUUAGUCGACUGAGCCACCCGGGCGCCCCAAUACAUUUCUGUUUUUGAAUGCAGCGCCUGGCCUUGGAGUUCAGGAGCCGUUCAACGUGAUGUUCUCCCCGAGCAGUGUCAAGUCGCAUCUCCUAGUUUUCUGUCAUCUGUCCUGGGGAGGAGACGGGCCGUUCCCUUCAUGGUCUGCCAUUUGCUGCUUCAACCGUGUCCACGCCCUGAGCGGCCUGGCCACCUCUCAGAGGACAUGCGGGUGUGGUGGCCCGCACAGCCAGGCUGCUGAUUUGUCCAGGUUGCAGGAACUGGGAUUGUUAAUGCUGAAAUGAUCCAAAUGCUAAACGUUGCUGAAAUUGCACAAAGAUGCCUGGCUGGCCAAACAGAAAUGCGUGUGGCCCACAUGUAGCUCACGGGCCACGGUGUUCGGCCGCUUGCUGCGCGUGGACGUGGGGUUUCUCUCUGUGCCUCAUGUUCUGUCCCGACUCUUCUUGUUCUCUCAUGGAAAAUGGCAGAAAGUUCUGGAAACCUUCAUUUUGUGCUGAUUUUAAUUGUGAUAAAAUUUACAUAACAGAAAAUUCAUCAUUUGAACCAUCUGAAAGCAUCCAGUUCCGCGGCAGGAAGCACAUCUGCAGUCUGGUGUCACGACUGCCUCCGCCUGGUUCCAGAACCCCGUGUUACCUGGAACAGAAACCCCACACUCCUCUCCCCCGCCGCCAGCUCCUGGCAACCACUCUACCAGCUUUCUGUUUCUACCACCAAGCCAGUGAAGAUAAAAAGCCAUCCGGGAAAAAAAGCCAUGUAAGCAUCGUGAAGCGUGAUUCUCGUGGCCAACUUUAUAAGCGUCACACGGAGCGUGAUGGUGAUUCUUGCGAAUACGAGAAGGCAGGGGAUGAACCUAGUGCCUAGUAGAGACUUCUUCGUGAAGUAAAUGGGUGGAGCCUGGAUGGGGGUAAGGAACGGUGUUUGUGCCUGGGGUGGUGGAGCCUGGGGGUGCCGUGCGGCUGAAGCCGGAGGUUGGUCGGGCCACUUCUGGCAACGGCCACGAGGGCUCAGACACAAGCCAUUUUCCGAGGCCGCAGAAACACACAGCCUCGGCUCGUGAGGCGCACUGACAGGGGCGCUGUGUCCCAUCGGGUGCGGUGGGCGCUGCGGGGUGGCGGUGGGCACUGCGGGGUGGCAUGUGCUCUCUGGACCCCUGUCCCUCCCUGUGAGCUCCAGCAGGUGGCCCGCCGGUGUGUUCCCUGUGUUCUGGGGCCGGGGUGCAGGAGGCCCUCAGUGGACAUGAGGUGGUCCCCGAGGACGGAGCCCUGCAGGCAGUGCCGCACAGCACCCACGGAGAGAGCACCACGGCAGUGAGGAACGCACAGUACACGCGGUAACACAGGACACAAUUCACAAUACAAGAAGAAGGGACUUGCUGAAGGUCACAUGGCCACUAAGCAGAGGAUCAGACGGCGGCUGCCAGCAGCCACGUGUGGCUUUGAACCCGAGAUGUGGCCGGUCCCCAUGGAGUUGCGUUGUGGGCGUAAAAUGCAUGCUGACUUCGAAGACUCACUAGGAUACAAAGUGUGGUGCUUAAUAGCUUUGCCUAACCCAGGGCCAUGAAGAUAUAUCCCCAGUUGCUUACAAGUUUUAUAGUUGCAAUGCUUCCGUGGAGGUUAUUGAUACAUUUUGAGUUAACUUCUGUAUGUGGUGUGAGGUAAGGCUCCAGCUCCAUUCUUUUGCACGUGCACGUGCAGCUGUCUCAACCCCGUUUGCUGGAAACACUCUCCUCUCUCCACUGAGGGUCGUGGCCCCUGCUGAGGGCCAGGUGGCUACACGUAGGUGUUUGGGUCACUUCCGGACCCUAGUCCUGUGCAUGUUUAUCCGUGUGUGUGUCCUCAUGCCAGUGCCACAAUGUCUUGAUUCUUGUAAGUUUUGAAGUCAGUAAGUGUGAGUUCUCCAACUUUGCUUUUCUCUUUAAAGGUUCUUUUGGCUCUUUGGGGUCGCUGAAGUGUCACCUGAACUUGAGGGUUCAGCCAGCUGGGAUUCUGGUAGGGAUUGCCUUGAAUCUGAUCGAUUCGGGAAGUAUUAUUUGGAGCUCGUGUUCAGUCAUCAUGACUUGGCAUUUCCUCAGUCACCCUUGUGUCUCCCCCAGACCCUUUCGUCUGGGUUUUGUGCACGGGGGACAAAAGCAUGUCCACAGAAAAACAUUUCCAGGGCUUGGGCAGGACAGAGUGCUCAAUUUCCACAGAAGUUCUAAACGCGCGUGGGUCUCUUCUUCUGCUGACCCAGGGAGUGGCCGCAUCUGACAGUCCCCCGCCCGACUGCGUGUGUGCAGCAGGGGCAGCUCAGAUGGAGGCCAGCGCUCCCUCCCCCUCUGCACAGUGCACUUACCUGCAAAGUCCAAGGUCGAAAGGUGAGACGUGUGGAGGCCGUGCCCACCUGCUCUGGCAGAUGUGCAAGACUCUGGUGGGGAUGCACUCAGGCUGUGUCUGGAGCACACAGCCCAUCACACUUGAUCUCUGUUGGCCCCUCCAGAACACAGGCCUUCUCCUGUGGGCUUGUCCAGCCGCAGCCCUGACGUUUGUGCAGUUUAGCACCCCACGCGCUGGUGGCCUGAAUCUGCAUCGUCCCCGGGUCUGAGGCCUGCCUGGGGCCUUCUGUCAGCCCUGUUCUGCUGAGGCUGAAACUCCCACAGCCACUAGUGUCUGGUCUCUGCUUGGGGGCCAAUCCGGACAAGACCUUUGAAUUAGGAUCCCAAGCGGAUGGGCGGCUUUCCUUCCGCGGCGGCACAGCAGAGACCCUGUGAGUCCAAGCACAAGGCUUUCCCCGGCCCUCAUUAGCGUCUGUCCAGAGGUCAGAACCCGCCUGCUCACAGAGACACGCCUCAGGCCAGAGAGUCACCGCCAAGGGCUCAUCAGCCGCCCCACCAGCUUGUCAGACUCAAGUGUGUCUCCGUUUGCAGGGAGCACCUGUGUCCCCAGAGGCUCCAGUAGGGGAAACGAUGGUAAAAAGCCAUCAUUUAGGGAGACUCGAGUUUCCAAUACUCAGCUUAAAUUCUGACCCUCCCACUGGCUGCACGACACAAGGCCGUGGGGUUCCACUAAUGCUUUUUCUUGGCACUUUUUCUGAGUGGGACGAUCCCUUUAGCAUUUAUGAAGUUACCAGCAUUUAACGUUUUGUAUCAAUAUUUUACUACACAGGUGGAUGCAGUAGCCACAAAAUAAAGUCAUUACAAAAAUUCCA